rnacentral:rRNA from 1 species
AUGGAGAUGAAACCCAAAAGAUUUUCGUUGGGGCGUAACCCUCUCAGCGACGCGCCACAUCGGAACCCGGGUGUGGUGGAAAAUGGGCAAGGGCCGGGCCGUCACCCCCCAAGUGGCGCGCCGUAUCUUGAUCCGAAUACGGUGGCAAGUGAGCGAGGAUCGGGUCGUCGCAUCCUUAGUGGCGCGCUACAUCGGCGCUCGGAUGUAGUGGAAAAUGAGCAAGGGUCUUCGCAUUUGACUCGACGAGUGCGAAGGGUAAGGAAGCUAGCCGAGCCUAGGAGGAUUCGCUUAGGUAGCUGGAACGUAGGGUCUCUAACAGGGAAGCUUCGGGAGCUAGUUGAUGCAGCAGUGAGGAGAGGUGUUGAUAUCCUUUGCGUCCAAGAAACCAAAUGGAGAGGACAGAAGGCGAAGGAGGUGGAGGAUACCGGCUUCAAGCUGUGGUACACGGGGACGGCUGCAAAUAGAAAUGGCGUAGGCAUCUUGAUCAACAAGAGCCUCAAGUAUGGAGUGGUAGACGUUAGGAGACGUGGGGACUGGAUUAUCCUGGUCAAGCUGGUAGCUGAGGACUUGGUUCUCAAUGUUAUCAGCGCAUAUGCCCCGCAAGUAGGCCACAAUGAGAACACCAAGAGGGAGUUCUGGGAAGGCUUGGAAGACAUGGUUAGGAGUGUACCGAUUGGUGAGAAGCUCUUCAUAGGAGGAGACCUCAAUGGCCACGUGGGUACAUCUAACACAGGUUUUGAAGGGGCGCAUGGGGGCUUUGGCUAUGGCAUCAGGAAUCAAGAAGGAGAAGAUGUCUUAAGCUUUGCUCUAGCCUACAACAUGAUUGUAGCUAACACCCUCUUUAGAAAGAGAGAAUCACAUCUGGUGACUUUUAGUAGUGGCCAACACUCUAGCCAGAUUGAUCUCAUCCUCUCGAGAAGAGAAGAUAGGCGUGCGUGCCUAGACUGUAAGGUGAUACCUAGGGAGAGUGUUGUACCCCAGCAUAAGCUGGUGGUUGCUGACUUCCGCUUUCGGAUUCGUGUCCAGUGGGAUAAGCGUGCCAAGGUCGCUAGAACGAAGUGGUGGAAGCUCAAGGGGGAGGUAGCUCAGGUGUUCAAGGAGAGGGUAUUUAAGGAGGGCCCUUGGGAGGAAGGAGGGGAUGCGGACAAUGUGUGGAUGAAGAUGGCGACUUGCAUUCGUAAGGUGGCCUCGGAGGAGUUUGGAGUGUCCAGGGGAAGGAGAAGCGAAGAUAAGGAUACCUGGUGGUGGAAUGAUGAUGUCCAGAAGGCGCUUAAAGAGAAGAAAGAUUGCUUCAGACGCCUAUACCUGGAUAGGAGUGCAGACAACAUAGAGAAGUACAAGAUGGCGAAGAAGGCCGCAAAGCGAGCUGUUGGUGAAGCAAGGGGUCAGGCAUAUGAGGACCUCUACCAACGGUUAGGCACGAAGGAAGGUGAAAGGGACAUCUAUAAGAUGGCUAAGAUCCGGGAGAGGAAGACGAGGGAUAUUGGCCAAGUCAAAUGCAUCAAGGACGGAGCAGGCCAACUCUUGGUGAAGGACGAAGAGAUUAAGCAUAGAUGGCGGGAGUACUUCGACAAGCUGUUCAAUGGGGAGAAUGAGAGUUCUACCAUUGAACUGAAUGACUCCUUUGAUGAGACCAGCAUGCGUUUUGUGCGGCGCAUUCAGGAGUCUGAGGUGAAGGAGGCUUUAAAAAGGAUGAAAGGAGGCAAGGCGAUGGGCCCUGAUUGUAUCCCCAUUGAGGUGUGGAAAGGUCUCGGGGACAUAGCGAUAGUAUGGCUAACCAAGCUUUUCAACCUCAUUUUUCGGGCAAACAAGAUGCCAGAAGAAUGGAGACGGAGUAUAUUAGUACCAAUCUUCAAGAACAAGGGAGAUGUUCAGAGUUGUACUAAUUACCAUGGAAUUAAGCUGAUGAGCCAUACAAUGAAGCUAUGGGAGAGAGUCAUUGAGCACCGCUUAAGAAGAAUGACAAGCGUGACCAAAAAUCAGUUUGGUUUCAUGCCUGGGAGGUCGACCAUGGAAGCCAUUUUCUUGGUACGACAACUUAUGGAGAGAUAUAGGGAGCAUAAGAAGGACUUGCAUAUGGUGUUCAUUGACUUGGAGAAGGCCUAUGAUAAGAUACCGCGGAAUGUCAUGUGGUGGGCCUUGGAGAAACACAAAGUCCCAGCAAAGUACAUUACCCUCAUCAAGGACAUGUACAAUAAUGUUGUGACAAGUGUUUCGAACAAGUGA